rnacentral:rRNA from 1 species
CAAUAGCGUAUAUUAAAGUUGUUGCAGUUAAAAAGCUCGUAGUUGGAUUUCUGGUUGAAGCGACCGGUCGGGCGUUGAUUCGUCUGCACUGGAGUCGGUUUUGGCCAUCCUCUAGGAAAGUGCGUCUGGUAUUAAGUUAUCGGGCGUAUGAUCCUGGUCUUUUACUGUGAAAAAAUUAGAGUGUUUAUAGCAGGCCUUCGCCUUGAAUACAUUAGCAUGGAAUAAUAAGAUAGGACUUUGGUCUAUUUUGUUGGUUUGCAGACCGAAGUAAUGAUUAAUAGGGAUAGUUGGGGGUAUUUAUAUUCCGAUGUCAGAGGUGAAAUUCUUAGAUUUUCGGAAGAUAAACUUAUGCGAAAGCAUUUACCAAGGAUGUUUNCAUUAA